GUAAAGCCAACAGCGUUGAUCUUCCGGUUUCGCUGCGAAUGAUUAAGAGGAAAUUACAAUGGCAAGAAGGGUUUCGAGAGGCAGGGGAGUCGGCGUAUUGUUCGAUGAAGAAGGCGUUUUCCUCGAUGGUGUUUAUAAUCCGGGAGCUCCAUAGCUAUACUCUGCAAAUGCGAGAGCUUUUGUUUUAUGAAGAUUUACAAGGGAUUCUCGUUAGAGUUCAAAAAGAGAUGC
rnacentral:lncRNA from 1 species